GUCAAAUCUGGGAUUGAAUGUAAACUCCUGGAAAGAGGUAAACUAGACACCGGAAGGACCAAGGCUGUGCAGGUUUUAGUGGAGGAAAAAUUCGGAGGAUUGUGAAAACACAAUAUAAAUGAGAAGGGUAACAUCAAAUUCAUUCUGUGGGUCCAGAUUUUGUGAGACGGAAUGUAAAUGAGUUGUACCAUGAAACUGCAGUGCUAAUUAUGUUCGAAAUCUGCCCUGCUUCAUUUUUAGUUCUUGAACAAGUACACCCUAAUAUUGUAAUUUUCCAGUUUGAAAUGAACGGGAAUAUAAUUAUUUUGAUAUUCAUCUGGCUCUAAUUUAAGUUUCUCCCCCUACUCAUGUUCUUUCUCAUAUAUACAAACAAAUACAUAUGUAUACUGAUGAAUGCCUUAUGUCUAAGUCGUAAAAUUCUGCUGUAAUAGGAACUCCGCAAGGAUGGUUUUGAUCUCGCUGAAGCACGGUACAGGGAGCUAAAACCUAUUCUUGACGAGCUGGCUCUAUUAGAAGCUGAGCAGAAGGCUGAGGAGGCUGAAGGGCCAGAAACUAGUGCAAAGAAGAGAGGAAAGAAGAAAAUUAGAAAUUGAUAAUUGAUGCGGCACGCGAGAUGUGGGUCUCGACAAGAAUGUAAUAUGCAAUUUUGAUUUAGUUUGAUGUCGUUAUCUCAGAUGAUUGCGCACAUAAUGUGUAGCAUGGUCACGUUACAUGUAAUCUAUCUGUAACAAUCACCCUAAAUUCAGCUACACCACGAAUUUCCUCCCCGAAAUGGAGUUCGGAAUUCGUAAUAGAAAAUAGAAAAAAUAGAACAGUGAAUCUAAUAUCUUAUUUUUCUAGGCUUGAAA